UACGAAGGGGGCUAGCGUUGCUCGGAAUUACUGGGCGUAAAGCGCACGUAGGCGGCUUUCUAAGUCGGGGGUGAAAUCCUGGAGCUCAACUCCAGAACUGCCUUCGAUACUGGAGAGCUCGAGUCCGGGAGAGGUGAGUGGAACUCCGAGUGUAGAGGUGAAAUUCGUAGAUAUUCGGAAGAACACCAGUGGCGAAGGCGGCCCACUGGCCCGGUACUGACGCUGAGGUGCGAAAGCGUGGGGAGCAAACAGG
rnacentral:rRNA from 1 species